CAACCCUCAAGCACUGCUUGGUGUUGGAGAAGUAUGGCCUUGGCUGUACCCUCCGAAAAUCAGUGGCGGACUCACCUAGAUUCCGGGCGCAGUAGAGAUGCGACGCCUUGGAGGUCUGGUGUGCUCUGGCCGUUAAAACCCCCAAAUUCUAAAGG
rnacentral:misc_RNA from 1 species